rnacentral:rRNA from 1 species
AUGAACGCUAGCUACAGGCUUAACACAUGCAAGUCGAGGGGAAACGACAUCGAAAGCUUGCUUUUGAUGGGUGUCGACCGGCGCACGGGUGAGUAACGCGUAUCCAACCUGCCCACCACUUGGGGAUAACCUUGCGAAAGUAAGACUAAUACCCAAUGAUAUCUCUAGAAGGCAUCUGAAAGAGAUUAAAGAUUUAUCGGUGAUGGAUGGGGAUGCGUCUGAUUAGCUUGUUGGCGGGGUAACGGCCCACCAAGGCAACGAUCAGUAGGGGUUCUGAGAGGAAGGUCCCCCACAUUGGAACUGAGACACGGUCCAAACUCCUACGGGAGGCAGCAGUGAGGAAUAUUGGUCAAUGGGCGAGAGCCUGAACCAGCCAAGUAGCGUGCAGGAUGACGGCCCUAUGGGUUGUAAACUGCUUUUAUAAGGGAAUAAAGUGAGUCUCGUGAGACUUUUUGCAUGUACCUUAUGAAUAAGGACCGGCUAAUUCCGUGCCAGCAGCCGCGGUAAUACGGAAGGUCCGGGCGUUAUCCGGAUUUAUUGGGUUUAAAGGGAGCGUAGGCCGGAGAUUAAGCGUGUUGUGAAAUGUAGACGCUCAACGUCUGCACUGCAGCGCGAACUGGUUUCCUUGAGUACGCACAAAGUGGGCGGAAUUCGUGGUGUAGCGGUGAAAUGCUUAGAUAUCACGAAGAACUCCGAUUGCGAAGGCAGCUCACUGGAGUGCAACUGACGCUGAAGCUCGAAAGUGCGGGUAUCGAACAGGAUUAGAUACCCUGGUAGUCCGCACGGUAAACGAUGGAUGCCCGCUGUUGGUCUGAAUAGGUCAGCGGCCAAGCGAAAGCAUUAAGCAUCCCACCUGGGGAGUACGCCGGCAACGGUGAAACUCAAAGGAAUUGACGGGGGCCCGCACAAGCGGUGGAGUAUGUGGUUUAAUUCGAAGCAACGCGAAGAACCUUACCAGGUCUUGACAUCCCCUGCAAAGACAUAGAGAUAUGUUGGAGGUUAUCAGGGAGACAGGUGGUGCAUGGUUGUCGUCAGCUCGUGUCGUGAGAUGUUGGGUUAAGUCCCGCAACGAGCGCAACCCUUGUGAUAUGUUACUAACAUUGAGUUGAGGACUCAUAUCAGACUGCCGGUGAUAAACCGGAGGAAGGUGGGGAUGACGUCAAAUCAGCACGGCCCUUACGUCCGGGGCUACACACGUGUUACAAUGGCAGGUACAGAGAGACGGUCCCUUGCAAAAUGGAUCAAAUCCUUAAAGCCUGUCUCAGUUCGGACUGGGGUCUGCAACCCGACCCCACGAAGCUGGAUUCGCUAGUAAUCGCGCAUCAGCCAUGGCGCGGUGAAUACGUUCCCGGGCCUUGUACACACCGCCCGUCAAGCCAUGAAAGCCGGGGGCGCCUAAAGUCCGUGACCGUAAGGAGCGGCCUAGGGCGAAACUGGUAAUUGGGGCU